UACGUAGGGUGCAAGCGUUAAUCGGAAUUACUGGGCGUAAAGCGUGCGCAGGCGGUUAUGUAAGACAGAUGUGAAAUCCCCGGGCUCAACCUGGGAACUGCAUUUGUGACUGCAUAGCUAGAGUACGGUAGAGGGGGAUGGAAUUCCCGGUGUAGCGGUGAAAAUGCGUAGAUAUCGGGAGGAACACCUGUGGCGAAGGCGGCCCCCUGGUUGGAUACUGACGCUGAUACGCGAAAGCGUGGGGAGCAAACAGG
rnacentral:rRNA from 1 species